UGAGGCAGGAGAAUUGCUUGAACCCAGGAAGUGGAGGUUGCAGUGAGCCGAGAUCAUACCACUGUACUCCAGCCUGGGUGACAGAGCGAGACUC
rnacentral:miRNA from 1 species